rnacentral:lncRNA from 1 species
AUGACGAGCCCCCUGCACGAAGGCGGCAGUCACUGCGGGCUCGGGGAGGCUGGUUUCUGCCCAGGUUCGUGGGUUUCUGCGUCUAAACACACAAGCGCACAGACCCACGCGGCUUCACACACGUUUUCUGAAGCAUCACGAAGUGCCCGACGCACCUCCAUUCCCGGAGCAGCAGUCCGGCAUCCAGGGCGGUGUGCCCCGAGUGUCUGUCCUGCUGGGGACCUUUGCACUGUGAGCGCCCCCCACAGCCAGGGCAGAGAGAGCUCCCCGUGGACCUCUCCAGCCUCCAGGCCAUGGCCUCUCUCUACGCUCAGCGGCAUCUGCUCUGCCCAACGUGACCUCCUGAGGCCAGCCCAGAGGCCCACUCAGCUGCAGAUGUCCACAGACGGCCAGGGAGAAUGGAAGGCUGGAAGUGCUGGUGGUGAGCACUGUCACGUGGAGGUGACUUGCGUGCCGGGCCUCGUGCAGCACGUGGACGGACGGAGAGUCCUUCCCCCAAAGAGGGCGAGAGUCCUUCCCCCAAAGAGGGGGAAAGCCCAGGAGUGGAAGCUGUUUCUAGGAGUCACGUGGGUGGGCUCCAGAAGGGGCCAUGGUGAUUUUUAAAGCUGGGUCCCACCUCACUCAGUCAGGGUGUCCUGGGGAAGCCUGAAUUCUGAACAAAGCUCAGAGAGUUCACCCCAUCUCGACAGCUGCAUGCUGAAAGGUCAAGGCGUGGAGGCAAGCAUCCACAGCCUUUUGUUUUCAUGUUCCAGGUCCUCCUGACCAAAAGUGUACUAUUUUAAUAAAAGACGGGGGCAUUGAAGGCUGAAGGAGACUAGCCUUAGGGUUCUUAGUUGAGCUAUUCAUUAGAUCACUGGGUCUCAAGUUUUUCUCUUGACUCGGAAUCCAAGCAAAAUUUAAUUUGCAGUGCUUGUCUUAAAGGGACAAAGGUUAAUCAAGGCCAAGAUCUGAUGGGGAUGAAACUGCCCUGUGACUCUGGACUUCAACUUCCCAACAUGCAAAGUGUGGAUGCCGGGCUCGGGGGGAGACACUGACUCCUUCAUCAGGAAGAGGAGAGAUCAGGGGUGCACAGAAGUGGAGCUCCAGGUUUCCCUGUAAGAGGUAUCGACUUCAGCAAAUAUUUACUCGCCGAAACAGAGUUUGCAGAUGACUGUUGACUAAGUGUUUGAAAUCAGUGCGCUGGGUCACAGGAGCAAGAUGGUCACUUUUACUUGUUGGGGUGGACAGCCUAAGCUACUCCAUCUUGUAAAAGAACUCCAUUUUGUAAAAUUCCGGGCAAAAAGACUUAGACUUUGGAUAUUACCCAACCUUGCCCCACUGCCCACAAGCCAAUCGGCCCUCAGGUUAAACCUCCUGACUUUACAUUCAGGAACUUGUGAUUUACCUUCAAAGUAAAAACCAAUCAGGAAUCAACACACAACCCUAUAGAAGAAGGCGACCAAUCAGAUGUCCUUCAGCCUGAAAAUCCCCCUUUACCAGAAUAUUCCCUAUAUAAGCAAUGUAACCCAAAACUCGGGGCUCCUCCCUAUAGCCGCUGUGUCGGUAUCAGUGGGAGCCCCAGCUCGAGCUUGGUAAUAAAAACUCUCUUGCUUUUGCAUAGGAUAUUGGCUCCCUGGUGGUCAUUGGGAGAUUUCGCGACUUGGGCAUAACAGGGGUCCCCUCGCUCGUACCUGGAGAAGUUGGGGGCUUAACAUUUUCAGAGAAAAUCAGAGCCUGGGGCAGGAAUCACACCCAGCACACAGCUGAAGGCUCCGGGCUUGAAUCACUGCAUCAGAGCCC